UUCYUAGUGGAGCGGUGGAAUGCGUAGAUAUUAGGAAGAACACCAAUGGCGAAGGCAGCUCACUGAAUGUACACUGACGCUCAGGGACGAAAGCGUGGGGAGCAAACAGGAUUAGAUACCCUGGUAGUCCACGCCGUAAACGAUGAUCAUUAGCCGCUAGAAUAUUUAGUGGCGCAGCUAACGCAUUAAAUGAUCCGCCUGAGUAGUAUGCUCGCAAGAGUGAAACCUAAAGGAAUUGACGGGGACCCGCACAAGCGGUGGAGCAUGUGGUUUAAUUUGAAGAUACGCGUAGAACCUUACCCACUCUUGACAUCUUCCGCAAUACUAUGGAGACAUAGUGGAGGUUAACGGAAUGACAGAUGGUGCAUGGUUGUCGUCAGCUCGUGCCGUGAGGUGUUAGGUUAAGUCCUGCAACGAGCGCAACCCCUGUCUUUAGUUACUAACGGAUAAUGCCGAGGACUCUAGAGAGACUGACUGGGUAACCAGUAGGAAGGUGGGGACGACGUCAAAUCAUCAUGCCUCUUACGAGUGGGGCAACACACGUGCUACAAUGGACGGUACAAAGAGAAGCAAUAUGGUGACAUGGAGCAAACCUCAAAAAACCGUUCUCAGUUCGGAUUGAAGUCUGAAACUCGACUUCAUGAAGUUGGAAUCGCUAGUAAUCGUAGAUCAGCUACGCUACGGUGAAUACGUUCUCGGGUCUUGUACACACCGCCCGUC
rnacentral:rRNA from 1 species